rnacentral:lncRNA from 1 species
AAUGAAAGGCACUAAUUGGACAUUGCACUUCAAGAACUGUGCAGUCUCCCGAAGGGUGGGGUGCAUGAGUUGAAAACAUUUUAAGAAAUAUACACAAGGAAGUGCAAUUCAGUGUAGAAGAGAAAGAACACAGAUGCACGACACUGCAGGGGCAGAGGAAAGAGAAAGAAUACAGAUGCACGACACUGCAGGGGCAGAGGAAAGAGAAAGAACACACAUGCACGACACUGCAGGGGCAGAGGAAAGAGAAAGAACACAGAUGCACGACACUGCAGGGGCAGAGGAAAGAGAAAGAACACACAUGCACGACACUGCAGGGGCAGAGGAAAGAGAAAGAACACACAUGCACGACACUGCAGGGUCAGAGGAAAGAGAAAGAACACACAUGCACGACACUGCAGGGGCAGAGGAAAGAGAAAGAACACACAUGCACGACACUGCAGGGGCAGAGGGAAGAGAAAGAACACACAUGCACGACACUGCAGGGGCAGAGGAAAGAGAAAGAACACAGAUGCACGACACUGCAGGGGCAGAGGAAAGAGAAAGAACACACAUGCACGACACUGCAGGGGCAGAGGGAAGAGAAAGAACACACAUGCACGACACUGCAGGGGCAGAGGAAAGAGAAAGAACACACAUGCACGACACUGCAGGGGCAGAGGAAAGAGAAAGAACACACAUGCACGACACUGCAGGGGCAGAGGAAAGAGAAAGAACACACAUGCACGACACUGCAGGGGCAGAGGAAAGAGAAAGAACACAGAUGCACGACACUGCAGGGGCAGAGGAAAGAGAAAGAACACACAUGCACGACACUGCAGGGGCAGAGGGAAGAGAAAGAACACACACGCACGACACUGCAGGGGCAGAGGGAUGGCAUUUUCAGGAUGGGAGCAAGGAACAUUUCAUGGAGUACGCAUUGGAUUUGAGCUUGCCCUUGAGGAUCUGCACUACAGAAAGAAGGCCUCCAAUGUCUCAGCUCUAAGGCUAGGCCUUGUGGUGCCUGCCUUUGAUAAGGUGAUCCAGGCUUCUGUGAGUCAGUGAAGCUUUGUUCUCUUGAGUCAGUGAAGUCCCAACCCCAUCAUAGCCCCAGAGUCCUGUGGUGAAUCCAGCGGCCUCCAGCAUCGUGGCCUCCUGCGGCCAGGAUCUUGGCCCUGGUUGACAUUUCCACGCCUGCCGUCUCCUGCGGUACCUUCAGCACAUACGAUGAGCUGGACAAGGACUGAACAGUGUUUGCUGUGAAACCUGGCCUUUCCUCUGCUUCUGACUGCCGUGUCCCCACCAUGAGGUCCUGGAGUUGCUUCAGUUCAUUGUAGACAGCAAACUGGGAAUUAUACCAGCCGCUCAUAGGCAGCCACCAUGGAGGUUACCUGGGAAUUAUACCAGCCGCUCAUAGGCAGCCACCAUGGAGGUUACCUGGGAAUUAUACCAGCCGCUCAUAGGCAGCCACCAUGGAGGUUACCUGGGAAUCAUACCAGCCGCUCAUAGGCAGCCACCAUGGAGGUUACCUGGGAAUCAUACCAGCCGCUCAUAGGCAGCUACCAUGGAGGUUACCUGGGAAUCAUACCAGCCGCUCAUAGGCAGCCACCAUGGAGGUUACCUGGGAAUCAUACCAGCCGCUCAUAGGCAGCCACCAUGGAGGUUACCUGGGAAUCAUACCAGCCGCUCAUAGGCAGCCACCAUGGAGGUUACCUGGGAAUCAUACCAGCCGCUCAUAGGCAGCCACCAUGGAGGUUACCUGGGAAUCAUACCAGCCGCUCAUAGGCAGCCACCAUGGAGGUUACCUGGGAAUCAUACCAGCCGCUCAUAGGCAGCCACCAUGGAGGUUACCUGGGAAUCAUACCAGCCGCUCAUAGGCAGCCACCAUGGAGGUUACCUGGGAAUUAUACCAGCCGCUCAUAGGCAGCCACCAUGGAGGUUACCUGGGAAUCAUACCAGCCGCUCAUAGGCAGCCACCAUGGAGGUUACCUGGGAAUCAUACCAGCCGCUCAUAGGCAGCCACCAUGGAGGUUACCUGGGAAUUAUACCAGCCGCUCAUAGGCAGCCACCAUGGAGGUUUCCUGGGAAUCAUACCAGCCGCUCAUAGGCAGCCACCAUGGAGGUUACCUGGGAAUCAUACCAGCCGCUCAUAGGCAGCCACCAUGGAGGUUACCUGGGAAUCAUACCAGCCGCUCAUAGGCAGCCACCAUGGAGGUUACCUGGGAAUCAUACCAGCCGCUCAUAGGCAGCCACCAUGGAGGUUACCUGGGAAUCAUACCAGCCGCUCAUAGGCAGCCACCAUGGAGGUUACCUGGGAAUCAUACCAGCCGCUCAUAGGCAGCCACCAUGGAGGUUACCUGGGAAUCAUACCAGCCGCUCAUAGGCAGCCACCAUGGAGGUUACCUGGGAAUCAUACCAGCCGCUCAUAGGCAGCCACCAUGGAGGUUACCUGGGAAUUAUACCAGCCGCUCAUAGGCAGCCACCAUGGAGGUUACCUGGGAAUUAUACCAGCCGCUCAUAGGCAGCCACCAUGGAGGUUACCUGGGAAUUAUACCAGCCGCUCAUAGGCAGCCACCAUGGAGGUUACCUGGGAAUUAUACCAGCCGCUCAUAGGCAGCCACCAUGGAGGUUACCUGGGAAUCAUACCAGCCGCUCAUAGGCAGCCACCAUGGAGGUUACCUGGGAAUCAUACCAGCCGCUCAUAGGCAGCCACCAUGGAGGUUACCUGGGAAUUAUACCAGCCGCUCAUAGGCAGCCACCAUGGAGGUUUCCUGGGAAUCAUACCAGCCGCUCAUAGGCAGCCACCAUGGAGGUUUCCUUUGGGAUUACUAUGUACCUGCCUGAGCACGCCCGAGGGGUGUAAACGGCCUGUGUGAGCGAGGCCAGGCGGGCGCUGUCGCUGCUGCUCCUGGUUCUGGCCAGGUCCUUGUUGGGGCUCCCCCGGCCCAGCCCACACAGUUCCAGUAACAUGACCAGCAGCCUCCGGGCCAAAUUCCUCCUGUGCCACAGGAAAAGUUACCCUCUCAGUCCCCGCACCCCCUAGUAAAAGCAGGUCCAGAGGCAGUUGUGCGAGGACUGCUAUAAAAAGCAUCGCGGUUCAGAAGGGAUUUUGUGCGGCGGAUGGCUCCCUCCAGGGCCAGGAGAACUGGGGGAGAGAGACCCCCGGGCAGCUGCCCCCCGGUGAAGCCCCGAGCUUCCCCCGCCUCCGCAGACGCCCGGCGCCCUUCAGUCUCAGGCCGAGCAGGACCCGCUGUCUGACUCCCGCGGAGGCGGCGCGCUGACGUCAGCCCUACGCCCGAGCUGCGGCCCGCGGCGGGGCGGGGCCGGGGUGGGCGGGGCGGUGCCGGGGUGGGCGGGGCGGUGCCGGG